rnacentral:rRNA from 1 species
GACGGAGGAUGCAAGCGUUAUCCGGAAUGAUUGGGCGUAAAGCGUCUGCAGGUGGCAGUUCAAGUCUGCUGUCAAAGACCGGGGCUUAACUUCGGAAAGGCAGUGGAAACUGAACAGCUAGAGUAUGGUAGGGGCAGAGGGAAUUCCUGGUGUAGCGGUGAAAUGCAUAGAGAUCGGGAAGAACAUCGGUGGCGAAAGCGCUCUACUGGACGGUAUCUGACACUGAGGGACGAAAGCUAGGGGAGCGAAUGGG